rnacentral:lncRNA from 1 species
GAGCCCCUGCAUGACUUAAGAAAACCGAAGGCAGGCAGAACAGAGACUUUUCAGGGUGCGAAGUUACGCAUGGUGCCCUCUACUGGAGUCACUGGUAAAGAGUUUUGAUUUCAAAAAGAAAUUGACGUAGAAUUUGUUCUUGUUCCAUUGUAUUGGUGAAGAAACUGAAGUUCAAAGUAAUUGGCAGAACAUACUACUUUGGGCAGUAUGGGAGUAGAGGCCUAUGGACGACCAGCAACAGGCUAGGGAUAAGAGUGGAGAUCUGAAUACAAGAAACUAGUAUUCAGGAUACGGGUCCUGGUUGUGAUUCUCUCCUAAUCCUUCGUGUGACUGGAGUUAUGUCGUGUGACUCUCAUAAACAAUGGGUUUUCCUUCUUUGUACGUAAUAGUUGGCAGAAGUGGUUACGUCCUUGCCACAAGGAAAAAGUCUCAUGAGAUGAUUAAUCUAAAACUUAUUUUAGAAAUAUAAAGGACUUUAUGAAUUCAAGGCAGUAUAUUAAGAAAAUAUCCCCUCAAACAAUGAACCAAUGAGACUGGCAAAGAUCUUGAUUUUCCUGAUUUUCAUUUAGAUUCUUAACAUUUGAGUCCAUUGAUAUAUUCGAAGCUCUACCCUUCUGGAAAAUAUCAUAAGAUUUGAAAAAUAUAGCUGCAAAGAGCAAAAGAAGAUUUGCGUCUCAAUAGAAAAGAUCUACAGAUUGAAUAUUGCAUAGAAAACAAUUUAUUCACCUUACAAAGAUAAAAGGAUGAAAACGCCCUGAGCAGUAAUAAAACUUCGCCAUUUUGGGGAGGGCCUCAAGAGGCUAUCUUAUCAAUCUUGGUCGUUGGAAAAGUAUCUGUAAUCUCAAAGAAAACUUUAAAUACUGUCCAAGGAAAAUA